UACGUAGGGGGCAAGCGUUGUCCGGAUUUAUUGGGCGUAAAGAGCGUGUAGGCGGCCAAACAGGUCAGCUGUGAAAACUCGAGGCUCAACCUCGAGACGUCGGUUGAAACCGUUUGGCUAGAGUCCGGAAGAGGAGAGUGGAAUUCCCGGUGUAGCGGUGAAAUUCGUAGAUAUCGAGAGGAACAUCGGUGGCGAAGGCGGCCUUCUGGACGGUGACUGACGCUGAGACGCGAAAGCGUGGGGAGCGAACAGG
rnacentral:rRNA from 1 species